rnacentral:lncRNA from 1 species
AUGAAGGGUCACAGACCCAGGUGUUCUUUCCUUCUGAUCAAUAUGAGAUUUUUUUUUUCUUCAUGGAUAAUCAUGAUAAGACACAAAAAUGAAGAAAGGAUUUACACACUUAUAUUGAUGGGCAGAGUUCACAGGAGUCAACUGGUGGUGUUACCCUCGUAUGGAAGACCCUAA